rnacentral:rRNA from 1 species
CCUACGGGCGGCACCAGUGGGGAAUAUUGCACAAUGGGCGCAAGCCUGAUGCAGCCAUGCCGCGUGCGUGAAGAAGGCCUUCGGGUUGUAAAGCACUUUCAGCGGGGAGGAAGGCGGUGAGGUUAAUAACCUCAUCGAUUGACGUUACCCGCAGAAGAAGCACCGGCUAACACCGUGCCAGCAGCCGCGGUGAUACGGAGGGUGCAAGCGUUAAUCGGAAUUACUGGGCGUAAAGCGCACGCAGGCGGUCUGUCAAGUCGGAUGUGAAAUCCCCGGGCUCAACCUGGGAACUGCAUUCGAAACUGGCAGGCUAGAGUCUUGUAGAGGGGGGUAGAAUUCCAGGUGUAGCGGUGAAAUGCGUAGAGAUCUGGAGGAAUACCGGUGGCGAAGGCGGCCUCCUGGACAAAGACUGACGCUCAGGUGCAAAAGCGUGGGGAGCAAACAGGAUUAGAUACCCUUGUAGUC